GACGAACGCUGGCGGCGUGCUUAACACAUGCAAGUCGAACGGAAAGGCCCUUCUUUUGUGGGGUGCUCGAGUGGCGAACGGGUGAGUAACACGUGAGUAACCUGCCCUUUACUUUGGGAUAACUUCAGGAAACUGGGGCUAAUACCGGAUAGGAGCUCCUGCUGCAUGGUGGGGGUUGGAAAGUUUCGGCGGUUGGGGAUGGACUCGCGGCUUAUCAUCUUGUUGGUGGGGUAGUGGCUUACCAAGGCUUUGACGGGUAGCCGGCCUGAGAGGGUGACCGGACACAUUGGGACUGAGAUACGGCCCAGACUCCUACGGGAGGCAGCAGUGGGGAAUAUUGCACAAUGGGCGGAAGCCUGAUGCAGCAACGCCGCGUGCGGGAUGACGGCCUUCGGGGUGUAAACCGCUUUCGCCUGUGACGAAGCGUGAGUGACGGUAAUGGGUAAAGAAGCACCGGCUAACUACGUG
rnacentral:rRNA from 1 species